CGCCUCUUGUUUAAUAAUAAGAGGUCCAGCCUGCCCAGUGAUAAAUUCAACGGCCACGGUACCCUAACCGUGCAAAGGUAGCACAAUCACUUGUUCUUUAAAUAAGGACUAGUAUCAACGGCACCACGAGGGUUAUACUGUCUCCUUCCUCCAAUCAGUGAAACUGAUCUCCCCGUGAAGAAGCGGGGAUAAUACUAUAAGACGAGAAGACCCCGUGGAGCUUUAUACUUUCGGCAACCAAAUCUCUCACUUCCCUAUAAUCUUAAAGCUUUGCCCACUAGUCUUAGAUUGGGGUGAUCGCGGAGCAAAAAUCAACCUCCAUGACGAAAACUAUUUUAUCCGAGACUUACAACUCUAAGAAUUAGAACACUAACGCUCAUGACCCGACAAACGAUCAACGAACCAAGUUACCCCGGGGAUAACAGCGCAAUCUACUUCAAGAGCCCAUAUCGACAAGUAGGCUUACGACCUCGAUGUUGGAUCAAGGUAUCCCAGUGGUGCAGUCGCUACUAAUGGUUUGUUUGUUCAACAAUUAAAACCUU
rnacentral:rRNA from 1 species